GCCCGCUUGGCUCAGUGGUAGAGCGUGUCACUAGUAUCACUCAUGUGAUGACAAGGUCAUCAGUUCGAUUCUGAUAGUGGGCA
rnacentral:tRNA from 1 species